CGAAGUACUCGGAACUUGAUUUCCAUUACAGUGGUGAGCUUUUUGGCAAAAGUAAAGAGAUAGUACCCGAGGAUCAAGAAUCAGAGUACUUGAAACUCGAUUUCCAUUACAGCUCAGGAUAGUCGGCAGAUAGCUCAUUUCGUUGAGGGCUACAGUUGGACUUGCAUCCUAAAAAACUAUAGGUUCACAACCUUCAUUGCUUUUUGUCAUUCGGGGGCCCACAUGUCAUUGUUAAAUGUUUUGAAUACCUGCCUGAAUGUGCUACUGUAUGUAGGAAUUUAUUUUG